GGAUGCGAUCAUUCCAGCACUAAAGCACCGGAUCCCAUCAGAACUCCGAAGUUAAGCGUGCUUGGGCGAGAGUAGUACUACGAUGGGUGACCUCUUGGGAAGUCCUCGUGUUGCAUUCC
rfam:Triticum aestivum genome assembly, contig: Triticum_aestivum_CS42_TGACv1_scaffold_399778_5AS